UAAAAAACACAGAGCAUAAAUUUCUGCCAAAUAUCAUAAUUCAAUCAGUAAAAUACCUGCUACUUCAUUAAUGCCAGAAAAUGCAAGUUGCAGAAGAGCAUCUUCAUCGGUGUGCACUUCAGUUCGAGGUCGUAGUCCACUGCAUUUUCCGAUUUCAGAUGUGGAUUUAAGAUCUCUUUCAAUGGCUGACCAAAUUCCUUUUGUUAUAGAACCAAACAGUAGCAAGCAAUUCUCCCUUGUAGAAUCAACUAAGAGUACAGUAACUUUGCGUAUCGGCCAUCCAAUACCUGGAACAUCUUCAUGUGCAAGCAGCGCCGAAGAAACCUUACAAGCACCCAUAAUCGCUUCCUCUGUCAGUGACAGCUGACCUUUUAGGUCCACUACAGUGUGGUAAUCAGGUCGACACAUGAGCUUCAUGUAUGCCAAUAACUUAGGCUUGAAAAUGACAGCCAAUUUGCAACAAGAAGUGAAACUUAAAUACUCCAAACUCGGAUGACGUUUCCUGUGGUAGUAGUUGUAGAGUACCACUACAGCAUGCAUCUGGAUAAAAAAAAAAAGUUCCAAAUUAAAAAAAAAAAAACNUAAAGGUUGUUGCNCAACACCUUCCACAAAGUUUUUUACACGAUAUUACAAAUUUGAACAAGUUCAUGGUAAUAUAAUUGCACAAUUAUGCUAGCAUACAAUAUUCAUUGCAUAAAUAUUUUAAAAAAUCAACAUAUAAAACAGUAGUAUUGAUAGUAAUAGAAAUAACUUAACUGGAAAAUUUAGUAGAUCCUUCAUAGAAGAAUAUAUAUAUUUUCCAAGGAAUCACGUUUUUUUGUUCAACUCUUCUCUCUGUAUCUAUUGUUAAAGAUAAGUACAGAGUUGCUAAUGCAUAUAUAGAUCACUUGAUGUCUAGUCACUUACGAAUUUUUAUGAGGUGUGUUUGACGUUAAUAUACCUCAGUUUGAACUUACUAAGUUUUAAAUUGAUUUCUCAAUUUUAUGCUAAAAAAAUUACUUUGUUGCAUUUCAAUUGUAAGUAUAUGAGGGUUCAUGAAUGCAUAUGUACCAAAAGUAUUUAAGUAAUCAUAAUCAGAAAUUAAUAAGAUUAAGUUACAAAAAUAGUGUUUAUACAUGAAAGACACCUAUUGAUUAUUUGAAAACCUAUUUUAAUUAUAAGUUGCAUAUUAUCAUGACAUAAAUAUAUCUCCGAAACAAAAUUAAAUUUAAAACAUAUACAAUAAAAGAACAAAAAUUAUAAGUCACCCGUGCAUCGCGAAGGUUAUAAGCUAGUUUAUACAUGAAACUAGCCAUUUAUAUCAUGUCCAUUUCCCUUCUUUCAGGGAAGGUUGCUAGUUGUGUAUAAAAAACACAGAGCAUAAAUUUCUGCCAAAUAUCAUAAUUCAAUCAGUAAAAUACCUGCUACUUCAUUAAUGCCAGAAAAUGCAAGUUGCAGAAGAGCAUCUUCAUCGGUGUGCACUUCAGUUCGAGGUCGUAGUCCACUGCAUUUUCCGAUUUCAGAUGUGGAUUUAAGAUCUCUUUCAAUGGCUGACCAAAUUCCUUUUGUUAUAGAACCAAACAGUAGCAAGCAAUUCUCCCUUGUAGAAUCAACUAAGAGUACAGUAACUUUGCGUAUCGGC
rnacentral:lncRNA from 1 species